rnacentral:misc_RNA from 1 species
CUACAAUGGACAAGGCUUGUCUAGC